rnacentral:rRNA from 1 species
GUGGGGAAUUUUGGACAAUGGGCGCAAGCCUGAUCCAGCAAUGCCGCGUGCAGGAAGAAGGCCUUCGGGUUGUAAACUGCUUUUGUCAGGGAAGAAAUCUUCUGGGCUAAUACCCCGGGAGGAUGACGGUACCUGAAGAAUAAGCACCGGCUAACUACGUGCCAGCAGCCGCGGUAAUACGUAGGGUGCGAGCGUUAAUCGGAAUUACUGGGCGUAAAGCGUGCGCAGGCGGCUUUGCAAGACAGAUGUGAAAUCCCCGGGCUCAACCUGGGAACUGCAUUUGUGACUGCAAGGCUAGAGUACGGCAGAGGGGGAUGGAAUUCCGCGUGUAGCAGUGAAAUGCGUAGAUAUGCGGAGGAACACCAAUGGCGAAGGCAAUCCCCUGGGCCUGUACUGACGCUCAUGCACGAAAGCGUGGGGAGCAAACAGGAUUAGAUACCCCGGUAGUCC